rnacentral:lncRNA from 1 species
UUAAGAUAGGGUAAAACACUGAAUUCUCUAGCCAAUCUCUCUUUUCAGACCACAUUUUAUAAUAGUGUUUUGGGAAAUCAAGGACAUAUUAUUAGUACCUAGUGAAUCUUUUUACUUUUCCCCCUCUAUAUACAAAAUGAAAGUGAUAUAUAUAAAAAUGUAUAAGCUUUAGACUAGCAAGAGCCAUUGACUGAGUACGAGGGAAAGUGAUAUUUAUAAAAAUGGGUAAGCCCUUAGACCAGCAAAGAGGUCUUUUGAGGGUGAUGGAUCAUCCAUUACCCUCGAGAACAAAACUGUGCAGACUGGAUCCAAAGCGGACAAUAUCUUGCUAGGCCUAAAAUGCCAUAUAUAAUGAGUAAAAUCACUUAACUUCUAAUAAAAUGAUUAAAUAGUUGAUGUUUUCAUACUAUAGAAACUAAAUAAUUUCUUCCAAAAAUAGAAUAACUUACGGGAUAAUGGUAAUAUUUACCCCUCUACUUACCUCUACUUACGGGAUAAUGGUAAUAUUCAGGUUUACAGAUUCAAGUGGCAGGACAAAUUCAAGCUUGAGUUAAUGUUCAAAUUAACACUCUCCUGAGGCCACUAAGAGGUUCAGCGAACACAAGGUCGCGAAGCAAUCCAAAUUCCGCAAUUGUCCAGUGUUUUUGCAUGAAAUGCGGCUCUCAGCUGUCAAGGCUUGUGCCUUGUUCUUGACAAGAGUUAUAACAUGCUCUAGACAAUAUUGUAGUCUUAUUCAAUUUUAAAUCAAUCAAGGGAAGCAAUGAAACAAUUUUAUGCAAAUUAUAUUACACUUUCCAAUUUAUGACUUGGUCUGAGGCAGAUAUUGAAUCAUGCCAAUAAAAAAAAAAUUUAAAAAAAAAAAAAAAAAAAAAAAAAAAAAAAAAAAAAAUACUGCCUGCUGUAGGUAGAUGUAUAUGGUUACAGAUGGGUGUCAUUACCGUUGGAGUGGAUGGGAAGGCAUUCCUUGAGUAUCUUUGUCCUUCUAACAUCUAACUUAAUUAUUAUUGCAAUUCAAGGAUUCUACUGGUCUAAGCCUGAAAACAACAUAGUGAGUGUUUAGAAGAUCUACUGCUUUUUAUUCACUUGCUACUAAUAUGUAAAUCCAAAGACAGCUAACACCACAUUUUUUUUCUUGUUGCCUCACUUUUUUAACAGAUUCACCAGAUUGUCGCAUCCUUCGUGCACAGAUGAUACAUAUGGUCAUUGGGUCGAAUUACAUGGUUAGAGAUUUUGAAUCUUGCUUUUAAGAUAGGGUAAAACACUGAAUUCUCUAGCCAAUCUCUCUUUUCAGACCACAUUUUAUAAUAGUGUUUUGGGAAAUCAAGGACAUAUUAUUAGUACCUAGUGAAUCUUUUUACUUUUCCCCCUCUAUAUACAAAAUGAAAGUGAUAUAUAUAAAAAUGUAUAAGCUUUAGACUAGCAAGAGCCAUUGACUGAGUACGAGGGAAAGUGAUAUUUAUAAAAAUGGGUAAGCCCUUAGACCAGCAAAGAGGUCUUUUGAGGGUGAUGGAUCAUCCAUUACCCUCGAGAACAAAACUGUGCAGACUGGAUCCAAAGCGGACAAUAUCUUGCUAGGCCUAAAAUGCCAUAUAUAAUGAGUAAAAUCACUUAACUUCUAAUAAAAUGAUUAAAUAGUUGAUGUUUUCAUACUAUAGAAACUAAAUAAUUUCUUCCAAAAAUAGAAUAACUUACGGGAUAAUGGUAAUAUUUACCCCUCUACUUACCUCUACUUACGGGAUAAUGGUAAUAUUCAGGUUUACAGAUUCAAGUGGCAGGACAAAUUCAAGCUUGAGUUAAUGUUCAAAUUAACACUCUCCUGAGGCCACUAAGAGGUUCAGCGAACACAAGGUCGCGAAGCAAUCCAAAUUCCGCAAUUGUCCAGUGUUUUUGCAUGAAAUGCGGCUCUCAGCUGUCAAGGCUUGUGCCUUGUUCUUGACAAGAGUUAUAACAUGCUCUAGACAAUAUUGUAGUCUUAUUCAAUUUUAAAUCAAUCAAGGGAAGCAAUGAAACAAUUUUAUGCAAAUUAUAUUACACUUUCCAAUUUAUGACUUGGUCUGAGGCAGAUAUUGAAUCAUGCCAAUAAAAAAAAAAUUAAAAAAAAAAAAAAAAAAAAAAAAAAAAAAAAAAAAAACACUAGAAAAGCUCUAAUAUUCGAGAAUCUCAUCGUAAAGCAAUAGUAUGAUUUACACAUUCACCCAAUACUCAGGGUUGUUAAAAUUGUGAACAUAUUUAAAUAAAUAUGAAUUUGGAUUGUAAUUAUAUCUAUUUUUAAGUGUAAUCCUUAACAUAUUUUAAAAACAAGGUGAUGUAAUUUACAUAACAUACCAGGAUCAUUAAUGUUUAAUAAUAAUUUGUUUCUCUAAUCCUCAAAUAGGACAUACCUCGGAAGCACAAGCAAUGCAAGGUACCAAAGAUGUCAAAACCAACUUGAAAUCCUGUGUGGUUUCAAAUGUUCGCAAUUCAUCAAUCAACGAGCUGCUACUUCAGUUGAUAGGAACUGCUUCCUAUCAAUAAAGAUUUAUGUUUGUUUAGAACUGAAACUCUCCUUUUCAAAUAACUCUUAACGAUAGAAAAGAUACCAACUCAAAUUUUAAGUUACCUUCGUGCAAGAAUUUCUCUGUUGAUCAAAUAAUGAGAGGCCUUAUCCAACACUGGGCAGAGACUUGACUACAAGUAACAUCAAUAGCAAUCUUGCAGUUUCCAGCUACAAAUUCAACUUGAGAUAUAAAAAGAUGCAGAUGCAUUAUAUUCUCACUUCCCAGGGAGGUCACUCCACAUCUGCCUAGCAAAGCAGCUCAUCUGUGCUAGUUGCUCACGAUUGGCUUGUAAAAUGCACCAUAUGCUACAAUCACAACAAACUUCUCUGUGCGGCUUGGGAUAGAUCAUAGUAAGUUUCUGUGUGAACGCUUCAACCUAAUAUGAAGGACAAAGAAAUCAAAAUGCAAACAUUAGAAAAUAUGCUUAAAAAACAAGUGAACAAUAGAUAUGAAGAAAACUCAAAUCCCAAGUCUCCAACGAAAUGAUUUUGUGAACUCAGACUAAACUUUCUUCAUAUCUAACAACAUAUUAGAUAUGAAGAAAGUUUAGUGAGUUGUAAUUUCCUGGCACUCUAUGUGAUUCUCCAAUCCAUUGUCUCUAGUUAACUGUGUCAUUUCGAACUAAUCCACCACUUUGUAAAGCUUGUUGAUAAAGUUCAUGCAACUUAAUUGAUGUAUUGAUCAGCAUAGCCAUUAUCGUCCCAAGCAUACUAAUUCAGGUAUUUAACCAAUCCUACCAAAGAACUAACAUAAUUGAUGAGAAACCCAAUUACGAAAAUGAUUAUGCAAUAUCAUUCAUGCAAUCUUUACUAUUUCAAUAUUGAUAACCAAUAAAUAUUCCUCCAUUUAAAUUGAAAAUUAAAUUAAAUGAUAAAAUAAGGGCAAAAUCAAGGAGUUCACAUGCAGCACUUGAUGUUGAGAUCGUGUUUUGGGGAGUUUGAGCUAAAGAUUGAUAAGGACAGAGACAAGACCUACAUACCGCCGCAUAAUCAUCAACACUAGGAGGAAUCUACCCAGCUAACUGCUGCUUCUUUCUUGAUAUUAUUCCUUUCCAUUAUUACUCUUAUUUCUGAUGCAUUUUCCCAUUGUCCCAUAUCGGCAUACAUGUUGUAUAACAAGACAUAUGGAACUGAGCUAUCUGGUUCGAGUUUCAUUAAUGCUUCAGCAGCAAUACGGGCAAUCUCUGCAUUGUUAUGGACCCUAGAAGCACCCAAUAAUGCACCCCAAACAGCCUUAUCUGGCUUAAAUGGCAUGCCAUUGAUCAAAUCCAAGGCCUCUUCAAGCUGUCCAUGCCGACCCACAAUGUCAACUAGGGAAGAGAAGUGUUCAAUCCUUGGCUCGAUGCCAUAUUCACUAACCAUGGAUUUAAAUAUCCCUCGACCUUCUUCAACCAGUCCAGCAUAAGCACAGGCAUUCAGAGCAGAAAUAAAUGUUAUAUAAGUAGGCUGCACUUUGGAAAUUCUCAUUAAUUUGAAAAGUUCCAAGGCCUCUGCAGCAUAACCAUGGGAUGCAUAUCCUCCAAUCAUUGCAUUCCAAGAAAUUACUUCUUUAUGCGGUUUCAUUUCAUCAAAAAUGGUCCAUGCCUCAAUUAUUGCCCCACAUCUUGAGUACAUCGUGAUGAGGGCAUUAUUCAAUGGCACAUCUGGGAUAACUGUCUUUCUGACCAGCUGAUGAAUCUGCAUACCCAAGUGCAGAUCCACAAUUCCAGAAGAUGCACUGAGAAGCGAAGAUAAUGUGUGUCGGUCAGGUUUCUCUCCUUCAACUUGCAUCCGAAAGAAGACCUUAAUUGCUCCUUUAUAAUCCUCCUUCUUCUCAUGCCCCGCAAUCAUGGAAUUCCACGACACCAAAUUCUUCUGGGGCAUCCUCUCAAAAAACUCAUGAGCAAGUUCCAAAUUACCUACCAGGGCAUGUCCUGAUAUCAUUGAAUUCCAUGAAAAGGAAUCAGGAUUUGGCAUUUUGCAAAAGAGGUUUGACGCCUCCUCCAUAUCUGAGACAUGAACAUAUCCACUAAUGAUGGUAUUCCAUGAAAAAGUGUCUAGUACAAUCAUUUGGUCAAAGAGUUCCCUAGCAGAAACAAUAUCUCCAGCCUUCACAUAGCACAUUAUCAUGGUAUUCCAUGACACCACAUUUCUCUCAAACCUCCCUUUACUUCCUUUUUGUUUGUCAUUAUUACUUGGCAUCUUAUCAAAAAGUUUCCGAGCUUCAUCCACCCUUCCUCUUUGACCAUAUCCCGCAAUCAAAGUAUUAUAAGCAUGCACCAACUCCUCUUUCCCACUAUUAUUAUUUCCAUAGUCAAGCAAAAUUUUUGCAGCUUCCUCAAGCUUCUCAUUAUGAAUAAGACCCGAUACAAGUGCACUCAACGAUGUUGAAUCCCUCUCUGGCAUUCUCUCAAAAAACUCAAUUGCACGCGCCACAUCACCAUUUUGCAAAAAACCAGAAACUAUAGCAUUCCAAGAAACAGCAUUUGGCUUAGGCAUUGUAUUAAAAAGCUGCAGAGCCUCCUCUAUUCUCCCAUUCCUUGCAUACCCACUAAUCAUUGUGUUCCAAGAAACGCAGUCCCUCUUUGGCAUUUUAUCAAACAAGCACCUUCCCUCCUCUAUAAACCUCUUCCCACGACAUGACACAUACCCCGAAAUCAUCAAAUUCCACGACACAACAUCCCUCUUUGGCAUUUCAUCAAAAAGCUUUCUUGCUUUAGUCAUCUCACCCUGUCUCGCAUACCCACUGAUCAUUGAGUUCCAUGAGAUGGUGUUUCUUUGCUCCAUUUUAUCAAACAAUGCCCUUGCAUCAUUAAUCUGACCUGUCUGGUUGAAACGCGUGAUUUUUUUAUUCAGGGAAAACAAGUCUCUGUCGCAAUCAUUAAAUGAACUCUUUGAUUUUGGAGCCGAUGCAAAACAGCUAGCUUCUAUGCUGAUGUAUGGCUUCCGUCUAGUCUGAAGCUUCCAUUUGCAUGAUGCGCCAAGGGCAAUUCUCAACCUGAGCAUAAUUUACAGAACAAGUUUACUGAACCUCUAAGAUUCAUUCAGCAACUGAUGAAUUAAACAAUCAAACUUUUUAUCAGAAAGUUAUUCAUUUUCUUAAUAUAUUUAGUUUUGCUCAGGUCACAUCACACGCUUGUCACACUCUUAACUUCUGAAACCAACAAAAAGAAUUAGGCGGUUUCAAAAAACGGUCAUCUAAUGGAACCUGCCAUAUUUGUCAAGCUAACUAAGAGUUUUCUUCACCUGUUCAACCUAUAAAAAUUUUUAAAACAAUUAUAAUCUACUAAAAAAAUAUUUUUUUUUUUAUAAAACUAAUAAUUGGCUAUAAAUAAAGGACAAUAUAAUUACCAAACCAGAAAUUACUAAUGCCACAGCUAGAUAUGUUAUUGACUUUUGAUUUGACAAUACUAUCUUAUAUGUAAGACGAUACUAUCCUUAUAUGUAAUAUUCUAAAUUUAUCAUUUUAUACUCUUAAAACUAUUCUUAUUAACUUCAAAUCUAUUCAUCUAUUUUUAUAUCAAUUCCAUACACAAUUUUUUCAUAUAGCCGACCCCCACUAGUUUGGACCUAAGGCUUGGUGGUGGUGGUUGUUUUUCCAUAUACAAUUUUUUCAAGAGAGAAAUAUUAACUUUGACAAACAUAUAAUAGCUAAACCUAAUACUUGUUUCAUCCUAUUAAUUAAUAAUGAAAAUUCGAAAAUCAGGACAACAAAAUUUAAAUGCAGAAAUAAAUAAAUAAAUAAAUAAAAUGAAAUUCUCAAGAAUACAUAUCAAACUAAAAAAUUUAAUUGUCUUCUUUAAUAAAAUAAUAAAAAAUGAACAUUAUUUUUCCCCAUUAAAUUUAUUCUUCUAAAUCCCUGAAAAUGUUAUUUUCCAGUUAACUCUGGUACCUGUUUAUAAAAUUAAAAAACAUUUCACAUGAACUAUAUAUUUUAGCUGCUUUUAAAAAUUUCACAUGACUAUACCAAAAUUUCCCUAAUCUCAGUUCCUUUGCAACCAAAACAUUUUUCCAUUCCUAUGGUUUGUUUAUUAACUGAACUAGCCAGUAUCUUACUGGUAGAUAAUUUGAUUUGGUAUAAUUUACUCAAAAAUCAAGUUGAAAAAAAAAAGCAGAACAUAUAUCCUCUCUUAUAAAAUGCUUACCGUGAGGAAAAUGAUAAAAUUACAGUCACGCAAAGAAGGCAAUACCAAAUAUGGAUUUUCUUUCUUUUCUUGCAUGUUCCCAAACAACUAAAGUGAUCUCUAGCCAUAUUUUCUCAGCCACCAAAAAAUUAGAAAAUAUAAUUACAGAAUUCUUAAUAUGCAAUUCGCAAAGUAAAACAAAUUAAAGAAGAGCUAAAAAAUGAAAAAGAAGGAUUGCUCACAUAGAUGUUGACAGUGAACUAAGUCGCUGCAGGACUGCACCUGCCAACAUAUUGAAUGGUGGUCAAAGACCGCUUUUGCUUCCUCCCAUUUUGAUUACUGCACAAAAAAUACCGGCAUAAAGGCUGUCAAGUAAAAGAGAUUCUCUAGAUUUCUGUCUCAGAUUCUAUAUCAAACAUGAAAAUAGAAAUUUGAGGCAAACGACAAUCAAUUUAUCUAAGAAAAGAUGAGUAAACAAAAAGUUAAAGUGAAAUGUGUCCAAUAAUGAACCUGAAUUCACAAAAUCAAAAAUAAUUGUUGCCUUCUUCCCUUCUAACUCUUCAAAAUUUCAGCUCUUUCAUUCAAAAUCUUCCCAAUCUCUUGCUAAUUCUGGAUAUUCAUGGAGUCUGGAAUCAAACGGUUAACAGAGAGGGUAGUUUCAUUUUUAUUUCAUCAAAAUUUGAUGAAAUGGAACAAAACUUGGGAUUUGGUUUGGGAAAUCACAAGGAAGUGUUGAAUUGAGAAGAAAAUAUUUAGAACUUUGAGAAGAGGACUUGGGUUGGUUUUUUGCUUAGUGACAUAAACAGGUUAGGAGGAAUGUGGCCUUUUUUUCACUCUUUUUUUGAAUGAAUUUCAAUGUUUAAGAGUAAAAGGUCAUAAAAAAAUUUAAUAAUAGUUGGACUUGUGCGGAGCUCGCCCGCAUGCAAGGUCCAACUUUAAAUAAAUAAUUAGUCAUUUAUCAGCAUAUUGUGGAUGGCAACGGGUCAGGUACACAAAAAGUGUCGUAUCCCAAUCCAAACUCACUUAAAUAUAAGGUACCUGAAUCCAUUUAAAAAAUUACCCCUGCAUUACCCAUAUUCGUCCCAAAUUGAAUUAGCAUUACCCAUUUGCAAUCCGGAUUCAUAGAAACAACCGUUUAACACAAAAUGAACAAAAUGCAUACAACACACAAUACACUAAACUGUAUAAACACUUGAUUAUUAUCGAACCCUUAUAAAAUAAAGAAAAUAGCAUGCUGUUAUUUUUACCACUCCAAUUGUCAGAAAUUGUAUGUAAUUACAUAGUUUUUACAAUUCAAAGAAACUUCAAGAAUCUACUAACUUAAUUAUAUAAUGGAGAGCAAGAAUGAAUACAUUUAAACUCCAGGUCUACGAAUAUGUGGCCUGUAAGUAUUUGGUCAAUAUAGUUUCUUGAAUCCCUGGACAAAAGAGACAGCUUAUUUGAUGAAAGUAAAAAUUAUUUAACUGCUGAAAAAGAAGAAUGCAUAAUGCAAUAAUGCAAUGUAUAGAGAAUGUAUAAUACAGUGUUGAUAUAUGGUUGUUAUUAGUUGUGUUUUCCAAUGCUUAUUUGUAGCAGUUCAUAUUAGUGAAGGUCUCACUGAUUACCUAAAUAAACCAAAUGAAAUAUAGGCAAUUUGAAUUAAUUAGUAAUCUUUAUUUCCUUGUGUAUGAGCUAAUGGAAAAUUUCUACAAAGGAGAGAGGGAGAAUAUGAAGAAUCAAUGUUAGAUUGUUGUUCCAGGAUUAGAUUUCAUUCCCAUCUGAACUUUGGCAGUCUUACAAAUCAGUUUCUAAUUUUGUGAAACUUAUGAAAAUUGUUCUGCAUGCCUACUGUAUAAAGUUUAUGCAUCUUUUGUCAGUUCAACUAAAGAAAAUAACACAUGCUGAUUUUACUUUAAAUAUUAAAUAGUAGCAUUUUUACGGAAAAGCCUUACCCUACAACCUACUGAGGAUGAUUUUGAUCAGAAGAUACAUAUUUAUUGAUCAAUCGUUUAGGUUUUUCAAUGAAAUUUUUGAAAUGCAUUUAGAAUUAAAUGCUUAACAGAAUCAUUUAGAUCUUUAGAAGUUAAGGAUUUUAAUCAACUUGCUUCAAUUUCACUCAUUUAUGUAUAAUUUUCUUGGUGUCUUUGCAAUUACAGAUACCAUCCAACACUUAAGUACAAAGAAUUCUGUACACUGGGAUGAUUCUAUUGUCAUUAAACUUGUUUUGACCGGCAUUUUAAGGAACUGAUUUUUCUAAACAAGAUUUACAAUCAGCAACAAAGAUAAAAAGAAACAAAAGAAAAGAAAUAAAAACUGCAGAAACAGGACAAGACAAAACCAGCAAAAAGAACAAAAGGAAACCAAAAACCAAAAAGAACUAAAGCGGCAAAACCAAACCAAAGAAUAAAAUAAGGCCCAAAGCAGCAGUAACAGUUUAAAAAAAAAAAAAAAAAAAAAAGAAAAAAGAAAAAAAGAGCAUAAGAAACCAAUUAACUUAGUCUAUCAUAUCAACGGCUAUUUACAUUCACAAAAUCAAACCACAUACUCAAUUUACAGUAAAGUGAAGAAAACAAAAAACGAAAUUAUUGACAGAGCUUUAACUUUAACAGUAACAAAAAUACCUUGCGAUUUGCGAGCCACAGAGCUAGUCUUGAACGAGACACAGAGCUUGUCGGCGGAGAUCGCCGCUCUUGAGGCGCGCUCGUCACUCGUCGGAUAAAAGGCAACAGGCAAAUCGAAGAUGAGAGACUAAGGCAACAAGAGAAAAAAUCAGAUCGAGGCAAAACUACUGCCUCGCGAAGAACGAAUUGAACUUUGAUUUAAAAAGUUAAUUCAAAACGACGUGGUUUGGUUAAGGCAUUUUCUGUGUCAAAACUUCGUCGUUCUGGUAGUGAAGUGUUAGUUAUUUUCUUCCUUUCUUUUUCUGGCCUAAUACAGAGAGAUAAUUAAAAUUUUAUGUAAUUCAGUUAUAAAUUUAAUUUUUAUAUCUGAUAUGCAAAAACUAAAAAUUUAAAUUUUGUGAAUUUAAUUCUAUAAUAUAAUUAAAUUAAAUUUCAUAAAAAAGUGAAAUUUUAGAAUGAAUUUCAUAAAUUUAAACAAUAUAUUUUCGCAGAUAAUAGUAGAUAAGUUCUUGAUGGGCUUAAAUCUAUGUUUCUGUAUUUUACACAACCAGCAAUUGAACAGAAAAAAAAAACAUUCGACCAUAAAAUGACAAGCAUCUAUUCCAAUCAAAAUUAUUAGUGAUCCAAGUUAUCAAAUGGGCCUCAAAUAUACACAAAGCCCAAACACAACAGAUACACACUCAUCAUCCUUAUAUUUAUUCAUCAAGUGGGCCCAAGCCAGCAGGAGGCGGUUACCAAAUGUACAAAGUUAAAUAUAUAGAGUAGAUACAACAGCUGCUAGCAUCUGCUUCUUGAAUGUUUUCACUGUAUUGAACUAUUCUACAAUACAAUUUUUGUCUCCAUUAAUACACUGUUUCAGUUUUCUCUUUCUCUGGUGAAGAAUGCUUUGAUAAUCUCAUCAGUUAGCAAACCUCAAUAAUCUUUUUUGUUGUUAAAAUUUUGAUUAACAGCCUAGCCUGAUAUGGUGGUGACAAUUCUAAAUGAAAACAUAACCAAUAAUUAAAAAAAAAAAAAAAAGAAAUAAAAAUACCUAUGCUUUUAUUGUGUUUCAGCCAUUCAUUUUGUUAAGAUUUGAUGGGAGGUUUAAAUUGAUAUAAUCUUAAAUUCAUAUAUUGAAUUGAAAAAAUUACGAAAUCAAAUCGAAGAAAAAGUAAACUUUCUUUUUAUUUGAUGCAAAUUGAAUUGCUUAGCGUGACUAAUAAACUACAGGCCCAUUUUGGCCCAUUCUCCAAAUUUUGGGCCCUCAUACUGGGCCUAAACGCACUCGUACUUUUACCCAAUUCCUCUUUGGCAAAAACCCAUAACUAUAAAUUUCCAUCUAUCUCUGGUAGGAAAAAGAUAAAAUUCCAACUAGUCCAUGAGGUUCAGCCAACUGUACAGUUUCAUCCCAAUAUUUAAAAAUAAAAGGAAUUAAGGAGUCCCAAAAUUUAAUUCCAUUAAUGAAAUAAUAUUUUUAUUUCCAUAGACCUGGUUUAGGUAGGUCUAAACCUUAUUAUAAUUAAUAUUAAUUAACCAAUAGUCAAUAAAUAUUUUUUUGAAAAAUAUAAUUCAUUAACUAUAAUAUCAAACAUUACGAAUAAUCAUAUAGAUCAGACAAUGAAUUUUACUAUCAUAAGCUAAUAGAGUUCGUUGAUCUUUUAACAAGCUAAAAUAAUUAUAUAUAUUCUUUUGAAUGAUAAUACUAAAUAUAAGAAAAUAUAAUAUUAUAUCUUUCCACUUGAAGAUGAUCUUGAUAAAAGAUAUAAAUAUUCUUAUUACCAACUAGUUUUUUAAUUGAUUUGGAUAGUAAAAUAAUAAUUACUUUGGAUCUUUUAUAUCUGAAUUGUUUUUAGCUAAAUUGUUUUUUCAAGGACUUGUAAUAUAUAACAUACACAUAUGAAUUCUCGCCAACAUACAUCAAUAGUAUCAAUAGAGGAACAAGUCGCACUAUUAGACUUCGUUGAUCAAAGAUUCACAUUUACAAAUCAAUAUCAAAAGUUUCCAACCAAAUAAAAUCAAAUAUUAUACUUUUAUUUAUAAUAAACUCUCAUACAGAAGGAACAAAAAGCUCUAAAUACGGAAACAAAAUAACAAUAAUAAAAAUCAAAACAAAUAUAUUAUAUGAUAAAUAGAUAUGAAUUUAUUAAAAUGGCUAAGAGAAUUUAAAAGAGAAAAAGAGAAGAAGUUGAAUCAAAGGAAAAAAAUAGAAUGUAGGAGAUUAUCACUAAUCAACAUCAAGCGGCCACAAACUAAAUUUUUAAACAUUUUAUAAAUUUCAAUCAAUGACUUCGUUAUUUUAGGUGUCUCGUCAUGCCGAAGAGAUAAUAAAAAAUCAAAAUUCGAAAGACUCAAGAAAGAUCAUCUUUUCACCAUUCAUAUUUAAAUAUAAUAUAUAUAACGGCAGAGCUUCUUAUGGUCGAAAGGUCGCUGGGCAAUUCUAAGAAAUUUUUUUUAAAAGAAAAAUUCUUAUGAAAUAUUAUAUUUUGGUCUUUAAAAAUAUAAAAAAAUUAUAUUUUGAUACCCUAAAAGUUUUUAAAACUUCAUUUAGCUUGUUUAAAGUAAUUGUCUUAGUUCUGUGCUGAAUAUAUAUAUAUAUAUAUAUAUAUAUAUAUAUAUAUUAAAUAUUCUAUGUAUUAUCCCUAUCACAUUUGCAUUGAUAACCAGGACAAGAAGCUUGUAGCCAAAUGUUAGAGUACUGACAACUAAUUCCCACUGUGAAAUGUUUUAUUAGCCUCUGAUCAUCAAUGAUUAAGUGGCCCACUUGUUUUAAUUUGUCCAGAACUUAUGGAAUAAUUAAUCAAGUAUUAAUAAUUAUUUUUGGAAGCGAACAUUCUAGAUAUACCUUUUUUCUCUUGUUCAGCUACUGCAACAUUUUUGUUGGAGAAUCAAGAACUUAUGGCUUAAAAUAUUCGCAUAUACUAUAUUAAGUACUCCCAUCUUCAAAAUAGUUCAUUUUCUAUUUUUACACAGAUUAAAAAAAUAAUAAUUAUUAUGAGUUUUGACAAUUCUAUUCCUAUAACUUUUCUAUCAUACCAUUUUAAAUAACAUAUGAGCAAUUAUUAUAUUUAAAUAAUAAGUAAAAAUUAAUGAGGGUUAUUGAAAAUAAGAAAAAAUUUAAUAAGGGUAUAAUAGACAAUUUCAUGAUUAACUAUAAUACAAAAAAGAAAAAUAAACCAUAUUUUAGGACAAAUUAAAAAGAAAAGAUGAAAUAUUUUUUUGAGGCAGAUCUAUUAUUCUUCUCACAAUAAUGAUUUUAUAAGUACAGUUUUUUUUUUUCUUUAUACUCAAAUGAUAUGAGAAGCUAAUUUUAUAAAAAACGAAGAUUAAUUUGUCUUUGAAUUUGUUUAAUAGGAUAAAAAAUGUCAAGAUUUGAUCUUUUUAGAUCAAUUUAACAUCUAAACUUAUUUAAAAUAAUUAAAAAGAUCAGAUUUAAUAUUUUGGAUUAAUUUAGUCCCUGACUAUUCGCUGUAUUUAUAACGUGAGAAUUCUUAUAUAGACAUUUAUUAAAAUUAUAGUUGGAAUCACGUGGUAUAAUUUAUUGAAAAAUUUAAUUAAAUAUCAAAUUGAGGAAAUAAUAUAUGAAAUAUAUUAUAUCCCUCUUUAUCUUGAUCUAUCAUUUUAAAUUCAUAAAUAUGUACUAAUUUAAAUAUUUUAAAAUUGAACUUUACUACUAGAUUAUUGCAUAUGCAGUUCAUGCAUUUCUCAUGUUAAACGAAUUCAAAGUUACACUACAUAUUUUAUAAAUUUACUGUGUUAAAGAAAUAAUAUUUUCGUGAUUUUAAAAUUCUAUUCAGAAGUAUUGGAAAAGUUUGAUCUAGAUAUUCCUAUUAAAUUGAAUCAAUUUAUUAUUUUGUAAAAAUCAAAAUAAAUUUAGUGGCUGAAUUGAUUUAAAAAAAAUCAAAUCUGACUUUUAAAUCCCAUAAAUAAGUUCGUGAGCUAAAUUAGUCUUUAUUCCAUUUUAUAACCACAAAGUCGUGUUUAAAAUUUUAAACAAUAUGGUUCUUAUGUUGCCUGUAACGGUUUCGUAUGCUCUAGUAGCUUUCUCUCUUUUGUCCAAGGUUUCUUGUCCUGCCAACAUGGAGAGGGACUUUAAUCAUUUGUCAAUCGCUGAUGAUGAGGAAGAAGGCUUGCCUGUUAACGCAUCUUCAGAUGCCACCAAGUCUACCUACGAAUUUUGUCUUGUCGACAUGUUCUUGACUUGCGGGACUGUGAAUUUUUAGUCCAUGCGAAACACUUUCGCAGAUUUGUGGCAUUCGCUCGGAGGGAUUAUAAUUACUGAUUUGGGAGCCAAACGUUUUCUGUUUCGGUUCUACAACAAAGUGGAUUUGGAUAGGGUUUUGAAUGGUGCCCCAUGGACUUUUAAUCGACACUUGCUGGUAUGGGGUCUGAUAAAAAAUGAUGAGGACCCGCUGCUGAUUCCUUUGCUAUACUCGGAUUUCUGGGUUCAGGUACAUAACUUGCCGGUCGGGUUAAUGUCUGCGGCAGUGGCCAAAUCAAUAGGGAAUUUCAUUGGUACUUUCAUUGAAUAUGACAUUAAGACUGUUCAUUUUGAUCCCAAUCAAUUUAUGAGACUGCAGGUUAAGUUGGAUAUUCGUACCUUUACGUAGAGGAAAGAAGUUGAUUGAUUCUAAUGGUAAUGUUCAUUAUGUCCAAUUCCAGAAUGAAAAACUUCUUGUGUUUUGCUAUACUUGCGGUCGCUUGGGACACACCGAUUCGUUCUGUAAAUUACAAUUGCACAAGUCUAAAAAAGAACUCAAGCCAGCUUGGGAUGAUCGAAUAAGGGUGCCGAUUCGCCGGAAAAUUCAGCAAACAACCAUGGCUGCAUGAUGAUAGAAAGUUUGAUGAUACUCCAAUCCAGGCAGAUAUUUCGGGAUGUGUGGGCGGGAAAUAUGGAGUUUUGAAAUCCCAACAAUUUUGAGCUUCCUUUUAUGGCACGAUAGUUAAUUUUAAUGUUAGUACUAAUCCCAUAGGCUUUAUGGAGACUGAUACAAAUUCUUUGAAUGGGUCCAAUACUGAUGGGCUUGACGAGGAUGUGGUCUUAGAAGAUGUGGGUGAAAUGAAGAAGAGGCCCCGAUGAUCCUUUUUGGUGAGGGUAUUAAAGUGGCUAGUGAUCCUUGAGGAGGAUCCUUUUUGCUGUAGAAUCAACGUGGUAGCUCUACUGUGGAUAUUGCCGUGAAGUACCUAUCGAAUUGGAGAGAAGUGUGUCUGCCACAUGAAGCUGCUGUGACGUCCAUUUCAGUGCUUCAUUGACAUGCACAUAAAGCACCAUCCAUUCACGCUCACAAUUUUGUUUGGAUUUGCUUCAUUGAUGGAUCAGUGUUCACAACCAUGGAUUUCAUUGGCUAUGCUUAUGUUAUUGAGGACAGUGAGGGACGGUUUCAACGUGCAGUGUCAGGGUUUCAGGAAGGCAAUGGCUCGGCGGUGGUGAUGGAGGCUAUAGCUCUUCGUUCCUGCCUUUCAUAUGCUCGUGAUUUUCUAUCUUUAAAUGGGUGUAUUUUUUCAAAUUGCCAAAAUCUUAUGAAUGCUCUCAAAUCCCAUUGUUUUAGAUAAUUUUGAAUUUGGUUUGAUUGUUCUUGAUUGUAAGCGAAUUUUAGAGUCUAGACAUGAUAUUACUGUCAGGUGGAUUCAGAGACAAGCUAAUAUGGAUGCUCACACUCUUGCUAGAGCAUCUAUACAUCAUGCUCGUUUCCAAAUUUGGGAUGAUGUUCGUCUUGUUAGUUAGAUUUUUUCCAUUGAGAUAAUGCAAUAUUAUUUCAUUUAAAACAAAUUUAAAACAAUAUAUAAAUUUUAUCAAACAAAUUUAAAUUAAUAACUCUAAAAAAUUUUAAUUUUUAGAUAUUAAAUGGUGUUAUUAGAUGUAAACUAAAUUUAUAUUGUUAUUUCAAUUUAAAUGUCUAAACAAAAUUCUCAAAUUCUUUUUUUGUUAAUAUUUUUUUGGAGAAAUAUAAUUCAUUAAUAAUAAAAGUAUUACAAAUACUCAAUUAGAUCAAAUAUAAAACUUAUUAUCAUAAUUAAUAAAAAGUUCGAUGAUCCUUCAACAAUAAAAGAAUUAUCUAUAUUUUUUUGAAUAGUAAAACUAAAAUUAAAAGAAACAGUUGGAGUUUUCCGCUUGAAAAAAACUUUGAUCGAUAUAAAUCUUCAUAGUAACAACUGAUCCUUUAAUUGAUUUGGACGAUAAAAUAACUUUUUCGAACUUUAUAUGCUUGGAUUGCUUUUUCAAAAAUUUGUUGCAUAUAACAUAUGCGGAUGAGUUUAAACCACUAUGGGUUAAUAGCAUGAAUGAAGGAACAGACUGUACUAUCAGGUUCCAUUGGUUGAAGAUACACAUCAGUAAAACAAGAUCGAAAUUCUCCAAUCAAAUAAAAUCAAAUGUCAUACCUUUUAAUAAUAAAUCUUCACAAGGAACUAAACCCUCUCAAAAGAAUGGGCAAAAAAACUCCAAAUAUGGAGACAAAACAAAUCAAUAACAAAAACAACAAUAACAAAAAUAUAUCUAUUAGAAGAAAAUGGAUUUGAGUUUAUUAAAAACAAAUAAAAGAUUAGGAGCCAGAAGAAAAAAAAAAAAAGUAUGGGGCUACUACUGAUUAACAAUGGCAACCUCAAACAAAAACUAUGAUUAAAUAAAUCAGAGAGAAAAGAGGAGGAGAGAAACCCUAAAACUAUCGAUUUUUUUUUUGUUAAUAUUUAAAAUGACGGUUUUUUUUUUUUUUUUUUUUUUUUUUGCGAAUGUUAAACAAAUCCCUAAAUAGUAUAGGUAAUAAAAUAAAAAAAAAUAUGUAUCACUUUAAUAAUAAUUUCAUGUUAAAAAAUGUUGGAAAAAUAGAGCUCUUGAAUAGGAAAAUCCGGUAUCGAAUUUUUGCUCUGCUAGGGUUUAUCACUUUAACAUUUAAAAAAAAAAAAAAACUAUUUUCAAGACAGUUCAUUUUCUAUUAUUUCUUUUUAAUAUUGAAUAUUAAUUAAAUAACUUACUUUUAAAAAUAUUUUUCCUUGACUUUUUUAAACACUUUAAAUAUAGAAAAAAUUCAAAAAUAUUUUUUAAAUAAAUUAUUUUCAAGAAAAAAUCUUGGAUAAUGGAAAUUUGGAAAAUUAGAUAAAUAAUAAUAAAACCUUAUGCACAGCAAACAUUUGUUAUAUGGUGUCCCAAGAAUAGUAAAACUUGUGGCUGAAUUUUGUAUUUCUUUUUUAGAUCACUCUCUAUCACGCUCUUAACAAUUCCCAUUUGCUGAAGUGGUCCCCAUAAAAGUAUUCUUGAUUGAGAUUUGAAUACGAAUUUCAAUUAAGUAAGCUUCAAGUUACAAACAUCAUCUUCACAAAAUUUCCUUCAUUGGUGAAGCAUUUAUCAUUUGGUAAGUUUUCUCAGAUUUAACACUAUGUUUGGAAUUGGGAGAUUUUAUGAUAGGAAGAAAAUUUUGAAUGGAAAAUAAGAAAAGAAAGCUAUUUUCCUCCUGCUUAAAUGUAAAUAAAAUUUGAAAGGAAAGAAAAUAUUACCAAAAUCCUUUCUGUCCCAUAUUUUAUUAAUCUCUCCAAAUUGGCGAGAAAAUAGGAGAUAAAUGUAUAAAAGGAUAGAAGUGUAAAUUUACAACAAUACAAUUUUCUUUCCUCCAUAUUUUAGACUUUUCUAAAUAAUAUAUAUAUAUAUAUAUUUUUUAUUUUUUUUUUUCCUUUCAAUCUAAACAUAAAAUGGAAAAUAAAGAAAAAAAGAGCUCUUGUUUUACUCGGCACAUGUACAAAAUAUAAGACAUCAAUGUGUUGAACAUGCAAAUCCCAUGCAUGUAUCUGCCAUGCAGGGAUUCAUAAUUAGCUCAACUGAAAAAUUGUUAAGAUCUUUCUUCAUUGUCUUUUUGUCAUAUAAAAAAACACGAGAAAAAUAAAAUAAAACAAGAAAAGGAAGCGCAUGCACAUGCCUGUAAAUGUAUAAUAUACAUCCAUCCAAAUGGGCAAAGAUUAGAUGCCUUCUCACCAUUUUUCCGCGCAUCCAAAACCGUAAGGGGCCACUCACACUUGAUGUGCAGGAUACUUAAAUCAGUUACGCAGCCAGAAAAUUAAAAUUAGAGAUAAAAAAAUUUUCAAGAGUUAACAAGAGUGAGAUUAAAAAUUUUAUUAUUUUAAAAGGAAAAAUAAAAAAUUUUAUUAUUUUUUAUUAUUAGACUAAUUUUAAAAGGUAAAAUAAUAUAUUUUCAUAUAUUAUUAGACUAAUUUUAUUUUAAAAUUUAAUAUUAUUUCUUCUAAGUAUUUUUUUAUGAAUAGAAAUUUUAAUAGAGAAUUAGAGAUCAUCCACUGGAUUUAAAAGUUAAAAUAUAUUUAUAAAUUAUUUCAUCUAUUACACUUAAAUUAUCAACUUGUAGCUUCUUCAUACAAAAUAAGGAGAUAAUUAAUUUAUCUUAAAUCUAUAAAAUUUUCAUUUGAAAUUAUUUUAAUAUUUAUUUUAUAAAAUAUUAUUAAGAGCGAAUGAAUAGUGAGAUCCAAUAAAGAAGAGUAAAAAAUUAAAAAUGUAAUAUACUCUUUUCUAAAUUAUAUAAAAAAAUGACACUUAAAAUAGAACAAAAAAAAAUCUUAAAAGUUAAACAGAAUAUCGGAAGUAUAAAUAAUAGAUUUUAUUUUUUAUUUUUUAAAAAUCGAAUUAAUCAGAGCAAUACUAACAAAAUAAUAUUGUAAAGUUACUUAGGACAUCCCUUCCUCUUAUCUCUCCGUGUGGUCGCUUUCAUUGGCUUCAUAAUCAUACACAUAUUCAUGGCCCACUUACGAAGCCAUCUCACAACCACAAAAUAUAAUUUUCAAAAGAAAAAUGACCGUUCGGACAGCUUGUUAAGUUUUUCCACACUUCUUCCUCACUUUCCCACUCUCUAUAACGGCUACAAUAGAAGGCUCUGGAACAAUCUACCUGUUUUAAGACGGCGGGACACGUGUAACCAAUCACAUGGGCUGCUUUUGCUCGAAAAUGGAGAAGAAUAAGCUGUAGUGUUACUCUUAGAUGUGAAUUAUUUGCUUCAAAUGAUGCUUUAGUUGUUUCUAGUGAAAAUAGAGCAAUAGUAAUUUUUUUUUUUUACCAUUUAAUAUGAUGUACAAUGAAUUUUUUACACUAUGUACUAUUAUGCAGCAGUUACAACAUUUUAAAGUCCAUCAAAUAGUAUAAUCCAUUAGAAAAUCCAAUAAAUUUCUCAUUGCUCUUUUGAAUAAUAUUUACUAUAUUUGUGCAUAUUAAUUAUUAAAAAAAAUUUAUUUACACCCGGUGUUUGGAUCUAUUUAUACAUCAAAUCAAUCACAAAUAAUAUUUUGAUUUAAUCAAAUGUAUUUCUAAUCAUAUAUUAAAAAAAGAUAAAAUAAUAAUUUUUUUGAUUGGUUUACUGAAUGAGACUACCCAUAUACUAAGUGUUGAUAAAAAUUUCCUUAAUUAUUAUAGAAAAGUUAGAAAUAAUUCAAUCGCUUUUCCUUAACUUACUUUUUUGCACUUAAUGUAAUAAAAAAAACUUCAAAACUUUAAUAAUGUAAAAUGAUUCUUACUAAAUUGUAUAGUUAAGUCUAAUAGGAUUGUUGAGACUUUGGUUCUUAAUUUAUGAAAUUUCAAUUUUUAUCCUAAAAAAAAAAAAACAAAGUAACAGGAAAGCUCAUAUAAAUGAACAUGCAAGAGAAAAAAAAAUCAUUUUUUAACUAAAGUAAAUUAUUGCAUACUUCCCUCCUAGAUUACUCUGAAAAAUAAAAAAUAAAAUACACAAAAUUAAAAAUAUACGAGCUUUGUUAACAGAUACAUAUUACGUACAUUUACGAUUACAUUCUUAGCAUAAUAUCAAAAUUUUCAAAAACAUUACAGUUCUUUUAUUCUAUUUACAUUGUAAGUAUCUCUCUACACAGAUUAUGCCAAAAAUACUUUUUGAAUAUCAGUUAAUCAGAUUUAAAAUAGAAUCAGGUGCAGGUGAUAUUACUUAAAAAAAUAAUAUUUCACUGUGCCACGGCAUAUAAGAUAAAAGUGUAAUCGGCAUAUAAGAAGGCACAAAAUCAAGAGAGUUGACAUGAAUGGACUGCUGUUGGGAGUGUGAGUUGGACGGAUUUGAAAUAAAGAUAAGAGGAAAGGCAUAGGUGGGACCUGUUUACUGUGCCACAGCAUGAACCGUGAUGUUUUUUGCCAGCUGGUGGACACGUGAUUCUUGAUUAGUUCAAUUACUGCAUUUGAUCAAACAUGGCCCCACUCUUUGAAUAUUUAAUUUAAGAAAAAAACCCAACCAGAACACCUCAUAUUUCCUGACUGAAAUGCUUGCUUGCUGCGGGCUACUACAAUAUAUAAGAUAUAUCUAUACUGAAACCCUUUAUCUUUAAUUGGCAUUAUUAAAAGAUUUUGUAACCUUACACCGUGGAAAUACUGGAAAUGACAAUUUUAACUCAUUUAAAUGUAAAAGUUAAUUAACAAAUUUAUUUUGGAUAAUUUAUACAAAAUAUGAAUAAAUAUUGUAUUUCUAAAAUAUAAGUCGUUUAAAGUAUUGCAUGCGAUUAAUGAAUCAAUUAAUUUCGCUAAAAAUUAUAUCACUCCGUCUCAAAAUUUAAGUUGUCUAAGGUGAUAAUUUUAUCACAAAAUAUAAGUCAUUUUGAAUAUUUUAAGAAAUUACAAAUGAUUUUUUUUCUUUCAACUGUAUCCUUAUUUAUAUUAGAUAUAAUACAACGAUGUGAGAUAAAAGUAACAAUGAGAGAUAAAUGAUAAUUUGUUCAAAUUACUCUUGAUUUUGUUAGAAAUUUAGAAAAAUUAAUUGCAUUUUUAAUUCUCGUAUAAAAAUCUUAAACGACUUAUAUUUUGGACAAAUAGAGUAAUAAACUCAACAAUAAUUUGAUUUAUGAGAAUUAAUUUAAACGAUCAAAUUAUCCUUAAUCUCAAAAUCAAGUUAUUGUAUUAUGAAUAAAGUUAAAAUUGGAAAAAAGAUUAUUUGUUAAAUAUGUUUUGAAAUCAAAUAGUUUUAUGAGUUAAAAAGAUUAGAAAUAAUCAUUUUUUAAAUUCAUUUGGUGUUAAAUUGGGAUGAUAAAUUAUCAAAAAAAAAAAAAAAAUAUAUAUAUAUAUAUAUAUUUGACAAACAGAUUGAAAGCUAGUUCUUUUGAAAGUUUACUGAGAACACAAAUUACAAGCUCAUAGUAGUUAGUAGCUUGAUUAAGGAAACCCAUGAAGGACAAAAUGACAGUGGCAAAUGCCUUUGAGACCAAAAGGCUUCAGCUUCAAUUUUUUAUAACGUAACAUUUAAUAUCUUUCUCUUUAUGAUUUUUAAAUUAUUGUAAUUGCUAUCAACAGUAUAAAGUAUAGAAAAUUCAUUAUAUAUAAUAUUGAAUAAAAAAAAAAAAAGGGUGAGAAAUGUCAUUAUUUAUAGAAUUAAUUCACACAAACAUAAAUGCGAAGCUUCAUUCUACCUUUUAGGUGCUACCAUUCACUGAAGGGGAACGCACGCAUCAUUGAAGCUCAACGCCUGUCUUUUGCACUUUUCAAACUGAAUCAUUUCAUUCGUGAAAUAAAUUGAUGGAUAAAGGGCAAUUGCCAAACAAUAUUAACGGCAAAAACAAACGAGUCUUUUUUUUUUUUCUUUUUCUUUUCUUUUCAUUAGAAUAUUUAAAGUAUUGGUUAGAGGUAUAAUUAUAAAAUAUAAUUGAUCUCAUAAUUAAUCUUUUCCUUUUCUUAAUAAUAAUCAUUAUAGUCUUGCUUUUGGUGUUAUAGUUGUUUUUUUUUUUUAAUAAUAAAAAAAUAAUGUAUUAUGUCAAUCGAAUGUGAUCUGAUUGGUAUUUCCAUUCACCUUGAGAAGUUUCAAAUUUUAGAUAGUUAACUAUCAGAGUUAUCGUCAAUUUUGCUUAUAAAACAACAAGAGAGCUACCUAUAUUAUGCAGCCCACAAAAAUUCUUUAUAAUAAAUUAAAAAAAUAUUAUUUUAUUAAAAUUGAUAUAUUAUAUUUGUUAUUUAAUAGUUUGAACUAGAAAAAUAAGCUACUAAAAUUCACACAGAUUUUCUUAAAUAUAAAUUUUUACUAUGAAAAAUAGAAAUCAAAGUCAGAAAACAGAAAUGAUACAAAAUAGACACGUAAUCAUAUUUGAUGAGCAUUUCUCAUAAUACACGUUAGCUUGUUUAGCUUGUUUCGUGUAAAUUGAUGAUCCCAUUCUGUUUCGACAUAAAUGGUAUCAUUGGUUAUUAUAAACAAUUUCAAAAAUUUUUGAGCUACCACCAUAAAUACAACUUGUAUGAUUUCAAUUUUCAAAUUUAAAAGUUAUCUAAUAUCUACUUUAUCAAUGGACCUACACCUUUCCAAAUUUCUUGUUAAUCUUAUGCAUUAGAAAAUUUAGCCAAAUAAAAUUGAUAUUAUAUAUCAAUUUUAUUUAUUUUUCAAUUUAAAAUCACAAGUUUAAUUAUCGGAAAAUGCAUAUACUAUGAAGAAAAAAUUUUUAUAAUCAACUAUCCAAAAGAGAUUAGUUUACACCAAUAUAGUAGAAGAAAAAUAGUGGAAGAACACGUGACGAUUCUAAUAUGAUAUACAUAAACUAAAAAUAUUUUAAAGGAGUCUUCACUUAUAAUUUUGUUUUCAAAAUUUAAUACUUGUAAUUUGUUUUAACCAACUAUUUACUAUUUUUAAUUGAUUUUGUAAACUCAAAACUCCAUUUAUUUUUCAAAAAAUAAUUUAUUUUUAAAAAAUAUUUUUAAAAGCAAAACAUACUUGAAAAUUUGAAAUAACACAUUUUCUAUUGUUUGGUUACAAUAUUGAAAAAUUGUUAAAAAAUAUUAAAGCUUUUAUAAGAUCGAAAAAAUUUAUAAUUAUAAAAAGUUUCACAUUUUAAAAUUUUAUUAUUUAAUACAACAUAAAUAUUUAUUACGUGCUUGAUUGUAAUUUGUAUCUAAGACUUAAUCAUAUUUUAUGGACCAAAGAUAUAUUUUGUAUAGAAUCCAGAUAGAAAUAAGAGAUUAUAUUCCUAAAUCCUUCGCUAACUCUCAAUGAACUAGCAAUCACUCCAAAAUACUUAUUGAAUUGGUAUUUCAAAUAUUUAUCUAAUAAAGAUUCCACCUACAACUCUAAUGAAAAUUCUUUACCUCUGUAUAAAAGAGGGAUCAAACUCCCUACUCACACUAUUUAGGCAAUGUAAUACCAAUAUAUUUCAUUCAAUUAUAAGUAUUUAUUAUUUAUUUACUGACUUAAACAUAAAAGUGAUUGCAGGCCUAGAUGAGACCUUUAUUAUUCGUUUAUGUCUUGCAGAUUUCUACGGACCUCUCUUUAUUUUUCCUUGUUCAUUUAUGUCUUACAGAUUUUUACAUAGGCGCUAUGGAUAGAUUUUUCUAAGUCUAUCAUUAUUAAAUAUGAGAAACAAUAUUAUAAAAAAAGAUAAAUUACGAUAUCUAUCGAUGACCGUGGUCGUGAAAAUAAUGAUUAAUUAAUAAUAAAUAUGUAUUUAUAAGUUUAUAAUAAAUUUAUCAGUAUCUGAAAAAUAUUUUUCUCUUUUAGAAAAAGAAAGUUAUAAAAAUGAUUUAGUUCUCUCUUUCUUAAGGAAAAUAUCAUCUGUUGCUAAUUUUCUUGAACACUUCAAACAUUAAAAAAAAAUCUAAAAAAUAUUAUUCAGACAAGUUAUUUCUCGAAAUUAAUGGAAUCUCAAUAUUAAUUUAUUAUUAUUUUUUCCAUUGAGAAAAAAAUAUAUUAGAUUUAUUCCACUAUUGAGAAUAAAGGAAAUCAUUUAAAAUAAGAAAGCUCAAAAAGUUAUAGCCGUAAUACUAAUAGCAUUAUUUCAAAUUUGUUUGACAUGAUGUAAUCAACCGAAAUGAUAAUUACAUUAUAUGAGUAAUUACAUUAUUUGAUUAGACUUUUUUUAAUAGCGUAGUAUAAUUGAGACUACGUGUAUAAUCUUCAUCACUUAAAUUGAUGUAAUACUCAUUACAUGAAAAAACACACAUAUUGUCUAUUACAUCAAGUAAAUGGAAUACCGAUUAUAUUAAGUCAUCCCAAUCAAAACUCUACCAUUCUAGAUUAUUUAGGCUGUGUUGGGUAAUAAAGUUUUGAGUGGCUUUUAAAGUUUUGACUGGUCAAAACGUUACUUAAAAAGUUGUUUGGUAACAUAGCGUUUGGACUAGCUUUUAGAGAUUAGAAUAACGUUUUGUGAAAAGUUAACUCACGUAACGUUUAGCUUUUAGCGUUUCAUGAAAAACUACUCAAACAGCUAACAACUAAACACUAUUAAAAUAGCAAAUAGCUACCAAAAUAGCUAAUUUUGCCGAACAUAUCCUUAAUACUACCACUUCACCACCACAACCACUAUCACCGCUUCACCACCACAGCACCACCUUAACACCCACCACAACCACUGCCACAAUUACUACUCCACCACCACCACCACCACUACUGUUCCAUCACUACUUCAACCACCAUUACCGCUCUGCAACGACAACCAUCACCAUUGUUCUACCAUCACCACUACUACCACCAUCACUGCUCCAUCACUAUCACCUCAACUACCACCACCGCUGCUGCUGCCUCAACUCCUACCAUCAUCGCUCCACCACCACUAUCACCACCAUCGCUUUACCACCACCACCAUGUGGUGGUGAUAUGAUUAGUGGUGAUGGUGUGCUAAUUAUAUUACAUAUUUACAAAAAAAAAAAAAAAGAACGAUGAUUAUAUUCCUAAAUUUUCUUGAUAAUAUUAUCAAACAUAGUAAUGAAAUCUUAAUUAAAUUACGUUUUUCAUCACAUUACUUCUUUAAUUACAUUAUAUUGCCUUACAUCAAACCAGACAUAGCGUUAGCAUGUAUAUCCUCAUACACAUCAAAACUUGACUCUAAUAUCUAUGAGAAAAAUGCACAGUUAAGCCCUUAAAUUUAAUCAGUUUUUCCAUUAAACUUUUAUUUAUGAAUAUUAAGUUUUUAAACUUUUAUUUUUUUUAAAAAAAUUAAACUCUAUUUAACCGAGAUUUAAACUUUUAUUUUUUUAAAUUAAACUCUUAUUUAAUUAUGAGUUAAACAAUUAUAAUCCCAUAUGUUAUACGCGGUUGAUGGGAAAACUUAAUCGAAUUGUUAAAUCUCUUAAACUUUUAUUUUUUGAAAAUUAAGUUUUUAAAUUUGUACUUUUGUUAAAGUGAGUAUUUAAAUUAUUUCCAUUAUCAGUGAUUUGAAUUUAUUAUUUACUCACUAUCGAUUUAGAACUUAAUUUUAACUUAAAUAAAAAUUGAAGGAUUCAAUAUUGAUAAAUGAAAUUGCAGGAGCUUAGUAGACAAAACUUGAAAAAUAAGAGGCUUAAGUACAUCUUUUACCAAAUAUAAUCAAGAGUUAAUUUACACUCACACAUAGGUGAGGAUAGGAUUAGGAUAGAAGUGUGGUAAGUGCCCGCGAACUUUGAGUUAUCCAUAUCUAUAUCUGUUUAGAGCUUUAAAAUCAAUUGUAUCUAUGUUAAAUCCGUUUAAAUACCUAUAUCAAAAUCUGUUUAAAAUUUUACUGUCCGAUCCAUUCAAAAUCUAUUUUAAAUACUUGUAUUUGAUGUUCAUAAAAUUUAAACCAUUUAAACACGAACUUAUUUAAAAAAGUAUCUUCCAUUGAUAAUGGAUAAAGUAUCAAGGAUACUCACAGUAAAACUCAUUUAAUAUAAUGGAUAACAAGUAACGAAUAUUCAAACUCAUUUAGUAAAACUCCUGAAUUCAAACGACAGGAUUUGCAAGUGAAGAGAGAUGGAACCUAAAACGGUUGGCUAUGUACUCAAUGUAGAUUCACUAACAAAGUACAACAAAUGCAAAUACCAAGUAAAAAGGAACAAAUGGUUAAGAAUUCAGACAAAGUCCUAACUUCAAAGUUCAAAGUUCAAACCAUAAAAUCAUUUCAGUAAGGAGAAAUCAAACUAAAACUUUUGAAUGUUAAAAUUUCAACUUUAACCACAGAACCAAAACCCUGUUAGCUAUGUACUAACACAAAGUGCAAGAAACACCGAGUACGAACUCAAGCACAGUAAGAUUGAGCUGGAUUGCCCAUAACCCAAAAACACUAGAAUGUGUCUGGUGUGGAGGGGUCCAGAAGCCAACUUAAAUAGAAGCAGAGGGACAACACUGGAAAUUAUGAUUUAAAAAAAAAAAAAAAAAAAAAACUAAAAAGCAAAGAGAGAAACAGACAAGAAAUAACCGUUGUAGGGGUGGCUUUUUGGGUUGGAUGCCAGGCUGACGCUUGAGCCCCCCUCAGAUGAUUCAGCUCACAUGGUCUAUCUGUACACUCUGGGUCCCACCCUCCACUUUCUCUCUCUACUACCCUCUUUGGAUUAGUUGUCAAAUGAUCCUUUUAUGUUAUCAUAUUACACACUUUCAUCCUAUCUAUUUCAAAGUUACUAACUUUAGUUAAUGAGAUUUAAUCUGCCAAAUGCAUAAAUUAAUAUCUAAAUUUUAUAAGAAGAGUCUAGUAGCACCUUUAAACGUUGAAAACUUCUUUUCGUAAAAUUAUAGCUAGUAAAUGCCUUAAUUUAAAAAACCGUAUUUAUUAAAUACUUAAACGUAUAUAAUUAUGUUUAUUAAAUAUUUAUCGGAUGAUUUAAAAUAUAAAAAUUUUAUUAUUUAAUAAAUUAUAUUAAAAGUUAUAUAAAAUGUUACACUUAUUGAAUAUAUUAUUUAGUAAUUGUUGUAAAAUUAAAAACCCUGUUUUUUUUUUUUUCAAAUUAAGUUGAUACUUAGUCUCAACUGUGCUUUUAUCCAUAAUUUUAAAUAAUUUAUUUGUAGAAACCCUAAAAACCAUAUAUUUUUCGUUGACAUAUCAUAAAAAUUAAAAUUAUUAAUUUCAAACUGUUUAAAUACUGGUAAAAUGUAAAAUAAUGCAAAUGGUGACAGUUUUUGCAACCAACUUUUUUUCUUGGAAAUUCUCUGUAUUACAAUCGUCUUUUAUAAUAUUUUUAUUAAUAUUAUUUUGUUCCAAACAUGCCCUUGUCUUAUCCAAAUAAUGCCCCGUACUCUCCUGCCCUUCUCUCUAUUCUUAUAAGGGCAGUGGCCUGUGGAUCAAAGACCACAGUCCCAAGAGAGAAGAGAAAGACAAAGCAAUUAAGCUCACAAGAGAGAAGCUCUUCUAUUUUCUAGAGUAAGAAAGAAGAAAGAAGACGAUGGCCAAGGAAGUAAGUGAAGAAACGCAAACUACCCAUGCAAAGGAUUAUGUUGAUCCACCACCUGCGCCACUGAUCGACAUGGCUGAAAUCAAGCUCUGGUCUUUCUACAGAGCUUUAAUAGCUGAGUUCAUAGCCACUCUCCUUUUCCUUUACAUAACUGUAGCCACUGUAAUUGGCUACAAGAAACAAACUGAUCCAUGUGGUGGAGUUGGUCUUUUGGGCAUUGCAUGGGCCUUUGGUGGCAUGAUCUUUAUCCUUGUUUACUGCACUGCCGGUAUAUCUGGUAAGUAAAAAAAAAAGGAACUAUUUCUCUAAGUUACUAGUACCCAAAUGGGUAUUUAUUAAGUUUUAGGUUUCUGUGAAGUUUCUUUGUGGAUUUGGUCAUUCAACUUGAAAAAUAACAAAACCCAUUUGUUUUCAAGACCUGUUUAAUAAUGGGUUUUCCUUAUUUUGGUUACAGGUGGUCAUAUUAACCCAGCAGUGACCUUUGGGCUGUUUUUAGCAAGAAAGGUGUCACUAAUUCGAGCCUUGGCUUACAUGGUGGCUCAGUGUUUAGGUGCCAUCUGUGGUGUAGGGUUGGUCAAAGCUUUUAUGAAGAAUCCAUAUAAUCAUCUUGGUGGUGGUGCUAACUCUGUAAAUACCGGCUAUAGCAAAGGAACUGCUUUGGGUGCUGAGAUCAUCGGCACUUUUGUUCUAGUCUACACUGUUUUCUCUGCAACUGACCCCAAGAGAAGUGCACGUGACUCACACGUUCCUGUAUGUUAUCAACCAUAGCCUAGUAUAGCUCUCCUCUUUCAUGUCAAAGAGUUCAAAUCUAAACUUUGUUUUGGUUAUGUUUGGUUGCAGAUUUUGGCUCCACUUCCAAUUGGGUUUGCAGUUUUUAUGGUUCACUUGGCUACCAUACCCAUUACUGGUACUGGUAUUAACCCAGCGAGGAGCUUCGGUGCUGCUGUUAUUUACAACAAUGAUAAAGUCUGGGAUGAUCAUGUAAGCCUCUUGAUAGUCAACCAGAAACUUAUUUUUCUUGAUUUUAUGGUUGUUUUGAAGUUGGUGCUUUUUAACAUAAAACAUCAGAAGUAGGUUAAUUUUCAAGAAUAUGUUUAUCUUCUUGAUAAAAUAAUUUAAUUUCCUUUUUAAUUAUUUUUUGGAUGGGCAGUGGAUUUUCUGGGUUGGACCGUUUGUUGGAGCAAUUGCAGCAGCUGCAUACCAUCAAUACAUACUGAGAGCAGCAGCUAUCAAAGCUUUGGGAUCUUUCCGCAGCAACCCCACCAACUAAAAUGAAAGAAAGAACGAAAGAAAGAAAAACAAGAAAAAAAAAAAAAACCAAAGGCUUUGUGUAGCUAUCUUUAGUCUCUAGUCUUUCUUUUUCUCUAUUUGUUUGUUUGUUGUGUGUAAUGAGAGGAUUAUGAUGAUGACCCUUCUUUCUUCUUUCUUUUUUUACUUCAUUUUUUCUUUUCUUAUUGUUCUUUUGUAUCAUUGUUAAUGAGUAGUGCUGUUCUUUUUUCUUUCUUUUGAUCAUAUUUAAUUGCUUUGUGCAGUGUAGAACGUUCUCUCUCAACACUCUUUUAAUAAUUAGCCACUAAAUAAACUACCAGCUAACUAAAUUUUUAUCCUCUCGACCUUCAUUACAGCGGUGCUAGUGAAUUUGUGAGUAGCGGUUAGGCCAUCUUCGGGAACAGUUUUUUCAUAUGGC